rnacentral:rRNA from 1 species
GCAGUCGAACGAUGAACCCGAAGCUUGCUUUGGGGGAUUAGUGGCGAACGGGUGAGUAACACGUGAGCAACCUGCCCCUCACUCUGGGAUAAGCGCUGGAAACGGCGUCUAAUACUGGAUACGAGAUGCGACCGCAUGGUCAGUGUCUGGAAAGAUUUUUUGGUGGGGGAUGGGCUCGCGGCCUAUCAGCUUGUUGGUGAGGUAAUGGCUCACCAAGGCGUCGACGGGUAGCCGGCCUGAGAGGGUGACCGGCCACACUGGGACUGAGACACGGCCCAGACUCCUACGGGAGGCAGCAGUGGGGAAUAUUGCACAAUGGGCGGAAGCCUGAUGCAGCAACGCCGCGUGAGGGAUGACGGCCUUCGGGUUGUAAACCUCUUUUAGCAGGGAAGAAGCGUGAGUGACGGUACCUGCAGAAAAAGCACCGGCUAACUACGUGCCAGCAGCCGCGGUAAUACGUAGGGUGCAAGCGUUAUCCGGAAUUAUUGGGCGUAAAGAGCUCGUAGGCGGUUUGUCGCGUCUGCUGUGAAAUCCCGAGGCUCAACCUCGGGCCUGCAGUGGGUACGGGCAGACUAGAGUGCGGUAGGGGAGAUUGGAAUUCCUGGUGUAGCGGUGGAAUGCGCAGAUAUCAGGAGGAACACCGAUGGCGAAGGCAGAUCUCUGGGCCGUAACUGACGCUGAGGAGCGAAAGGGUGGGGAGCAAACAGGCUUAGAUACCCUGGUAGUCCACCCCGUAAACGUUGGGAACUAGUUGUGGGGUCCUUUCCACGGAUUCCGUGACGCAGCUAACGCAUUAAGUUCCCCGCCUGGGGAGUACGGCCGCAAGGCUAAAACUCAAAGGAAUUGACGGGGACCCGCACAAGCGGCGGAGCAUGCGGAUUAAUUCGAUGCAACGCGAAGAACCUUACCAAGGCUUGACAUACACGAGAACGGGCCAGAAAUGGUCAACUCUUUGGACACUCGUGAACAGGUGGUGCAUGGUUGUCGUCAGCUCGUGUCGUGAGAUGUUGGGUUAAGUCCCGCAACGAGCGCAAC